UGGGGAAUAUUGCACAAUGGGCGCAAGCCUGAUGCAGCCAUGCCGCGUGUGUGAAGAAGGCCUUCGGGUUGUAAAGCACUUUCAGCGAGGAGGAAGGGGUUGAGUUUAAUACGCUCAAUCAUUGACGUUACUCGCAGAAGAAGCACCGGCUAACUCCGUGCCAGCAGCCGCGGUAAUACGGAGGGUGCAAGCGUUAAUCGGAAUUACUGGGCGUAAAGCGCACGCAGGCGGUUUGUUAAGUCAGAUGUGAAAUCCCCGCGCUUAACGUGGGAACUGCAUUUGAAACUGGCAAGCUAGAGUCGUGUAGAGGGGGGUAGAAUUCCAGGUGGAGCGGUGAAAUGCGUAGAGAUCUGGAGGAAUACCGGUGGCGAAGGCGGCCCCCUGGACAAAGACUGACGCUCAGGUGCGAAAGCGUGGGGAGCAAACA
rnacentral:rRNA from 1 species